AUGGAGGGCGCCCCGAGGGCAAACACGCGGCGCCGGCGGCUGGUCGAGAGGGGAUCAGAUCGCCUGGCCUUCAUCACCGGCCAGACGCGCGACCUCCCCCCCGACCCCGACCCCUACCCAGAUUCACCGGUUGCUGAGCCCCGUCUACAACCCAAGCAUAAAAGCCACAGUAGCGAAGGUGACCUACUCCACAAAUUCAACGCAAGCAGUGCAGCUUCUGAGAUCCAGCCAGUAUAUGAGCCACCAUUGCUGCGGAGCCGUGAUGAUGAAACCCUCAACAAGAGGACUUAUGAUUAUGGAGCAGCAAGUGUGCAGCCUAAGAGGGACAUGGAAAUGAGACCCAAAUCCGUGCCUCCGAGGGACAUGGACACGAGACCCAGAUCCGCGCCCCCAAGCCAGCCUAACCAAGCAGACUACUCAUCUUGGUCUCUGGAAACUCUGAAGCAACUCGUGGAUUUCACGCCGCAGGAGAUCACCCAAGCCAUCUCAGCCACAGAGCUCAACCGCUGCUUAGCAUCCAUUCUCAUCGCCUUCAUUGUGGUUGUUUCUAACUGGGGGCUGGACGUCGGUGGCACCAUCACCAGAGUAUUGGUUUGCACGAGGCCGCUCCUGUUCCUCAUCAUAACGAACGUAACCAUCGUCAUGUCAUUGCUGAUGGAGAACAGGGACCCCAAUGCGAGGGGCAGACAGGCCGGCAUCAGCCUUGGUUCUGAUGGCUUAGGGCUGAUGCUGGAGCUCGGGAUGCUGCUACAGAAGGCGUCUGAAGCUAUGCUGAUGGACUUCAGCAUUUGCGCUGUCAUCAUGAUCUGUUUUCUUUGA
rnacentral:rRNA from 1 species